rnacentral:rRNA from 1 species
GUAACCUGGUCUUACCUCUGGGAUAAGCCUGGUGAACGUGGUCUAAUACUGGAUACUACUGUCCACGGCAUGGUGGGUGGUGGAAAGGGUUUUACUGGUUUUGGAUGGGCUCACGGCCUAUCAGCUUGUUGGUGGGGUAAUGGCUCACCAAGGCGACGACGGGUAGCCGGCCUGAGAGGGUGACCGGCCACACUGGGACUGAGACACGGCCCAAACUCAUACGGGAGGCAGCAGUGGGGAAUAUUGCACAAUGGGCGAAAGCCUGAUGCAGCGACGCCGCGUGAGGGAUGACGGCCUUCGGGUUGUAAACCUCUUUCAGUAGGGAAGAAGCGAGAGUGACGGUACCUGCAGAAGAAGCGCCGGCUAACUACGUGCCAGCAGCCGCGGUAAUACGUAGGGCGCAAGCGUUGUCCGGAAUUAUUGGGCGUAAAGAGCUCGUAGGCGGUUUGUCGCGUCUGCUGUGAAAGCCCGGGGCUCAACCCCGGGUCUGCAGUGGGUACGGGCAGACUAGAGUGCAGUAGGGGAGACUGGAAUUCCUGGUGUAGCGGUGAAAUGCGCAGAUAUCAGGAGGAACACCGAUGGCGAAGGCAGGUCUCUGGGCUGUUACUGACGCUGAGGAGCGAAAGCAUGGGGAGCGAACAGGAUUAGAUACCCUGGUAGUCCAUGCCGUAAACGUUGGGCACUAGGUGUGGGGGACAUUCCACGUUUUCCGCGCCGUAGCUAACGCAUUAAGUGCCCCGCCUGGGGAGUACGGCCGCAAGGCUAAAACUCAAAGGAAUUGACGGGGGCCCGCACAAGCGGCGGAGCAUGCGGAUUAAUUCGAUGCAACGCGAAGAACCUUACCAAGGCUUGACAUUCACCGGACUACCCCAGAGAUGGGGUUUCCCUUCGGGGUCCGUGGACAGGUGGUGCAUGGUUGUCGUCAGCUCGUGUCGUGAGAUGUUGGGUUAAGUCCCGCAACGAGCGCAACCCUCGUUCUAUGUUGCCAGCACGUGAUGGUGGGGACUCAUAGGAGACUGCCGGGGUCAACUCGGAGGAAGGUGGGGAUGACGUCAAAUCAUCAUGCCCCUUAUGUCUUGGGCUUCACGCAUGCUACAAUGGCCGGUACAAAGGGUUGCGAUACUGUGAGGUGGAGCUAAUCCCAAAAAGCCGGUCUCAGUUCGGAUUGAGGUCUGCAACUCGACCUCAUGAAGUCGGAGUCGCUAGUAAUCGCAGAUCAGCAACGCUGCGGUGAAUACGUUCCCGGGCCUUGUACACACCGCCCGUCAAGUCACGAAAGUUGGUAACACCCGAAGCCGGUGGCCUAACCCCUUGUGGGAGGAGCCGACGAAG